GUGAAUCAUCAAAUCUUUGAACGCAAAUUGCGCUUCCUGGUAUUCCGGGAAGUAUGCCUGUUUGAGGGUCAGUAUUAAUAAAAAAUCGGUUUAGUUACAAAUUGUGAGGUUCCCGGCGUUGGGGCUACCUUAACAUUUUCGGUUAAGAGGCUUAAAAUUGAUUUUUUUUGCGCAUUUUUAAACGUACAUAAAUUUUUUUCAUUCGU
rnacentral:misc_RNA from 1 species